CAGCCUGCCCAGUGACUCUGUUCAACGGCCGCGGUAUCCUAACCGUGCGAAGGUAGCGUAAUCACUUGUUCUUUAAAUGAGGACUAGUAUGAAUGGCACCACGAAGGUUAUACUGUCUCCUUUUUCUAAUCAGUGAAACUAAUCUUCCCGUGAAGAAGCGGGAAUAAAAAUAUAAGACGAGAAGACCCUAUGGAGCUUUAAACAAAUAUACAACUGUCCACACUACUAAAAAUUUCAGAAGAUAAACACUCACCUGGACACUUUGAUAUAGAGUUUUAGGUUGGGGUGACCACGGAGUAAAAAACAACCUCCGCAAUGAAAGGGAACUUUCCCUAAACCAAGAGCUACAGCCCUAAGUAUCAAUAAAUUGACACCAAUUGACCCAGUACAUCUGAUCAAUGAACCAAGUUACCCUAGGGAUAACAGCGCAAUCCACUUCAAGAGCCCCUAUCGACAAGUGGGUUUACGACCUCGAUGUUGGAUCAGGGUAUCCUAGUGGUGCAGCCGCUACUAACGGUUCGUUUGUUCAACGAUUAAAACCCUACGUGAUCUAU
rnacentral:rRNA from 1 species